rnacentral:lncRNA from 1 species
UUGUUCUUGAUUCUGUUGGCCAAAGUCUCUGUCAAAUAAUACAACAUGUCUUUGAUAUUCAAAUAAUCCGCCACCAAUAACAUCUCUUUCAACUCAUCAUUACUCUUGCCCUUCCCAAACUUCUGGUUGAACGUCUUCACCCCCUGUUUCGGUGACAUUUUCUUUCGAAACUCCAUGGGCCUUACAAAAUUUGAUUAUGUACGGCAG